rnacentral:rRNA from 1 species
GUGGGGAAUAUUGGUCAAUGGGGGGAACCCUGAACCAGCCAUGCCGCGUGGAGGAAGACGGCCCUACGGGUUGUAAACUCCUUUAGCACGGGAAUAAACUCAGUCACGCGUGACUGAUUGAAGGUACCGUGAGAAUAAGCAUCGGCUAACUCCGUGCCAGCAGCCGCGGUAAUACGGAGGAUGCAGGCGUUAUCCGGAUUUAUUAGGUUUAAAGGGUGCGUAGGCGGCCCGGUAAGUCAGCGUUGAAAGUCUGCGGCUCAACCGUAGAAUUGGCAUUGAUACUGUCGGGCUUGGAUGCGGUGGAAGUAGGCGGAAUGUGCAGUGUAGCGGUGAAAUGCUUAGAUAUUGUACAGAACACCGAUUGCGAAGGCAGCUUACUAUACCGUUAUUGACGCUGAGGCACGAAAGCGCGGGGAUCGAACAGG